rnacentral:snoRNA from 1 species
UUACAAUGAUGAGAAAAAUUUAUUAAAUAUACAGUUAUCCCUGUCUUAAAAAACCAUGUCGAGAAUUUUGUUAGGCUGAAAUGUUC